UACGUAGGAGGCAAGCGUUGUCCGGAGUUACUGGGCGUAAAGCGCACGCAGGCGGUUCAGUCAGUCUGUAGGGACAGGGCACAGCUCAACUGUGUCAGGCUUACGGAAACUGCUGAACUUGAGGGCUUCAGAGGGAUGGGGAAUUCCGGGUGGAGUGGUGAAAUGCGUAGAGAUCCGGAAGAACACCAAAGGCGAGGGCACCAUCCUGGGGAGUCACUGACGCUCGGGUGCGAAAGCUAGGGGAGCGAACGGG
rnacentral:rRNA from 1 species